rnacentral:sRNA from 1 species
GGGCAGCGAAUUCCCAGAGGAGGACCCUCUACCUCUUGCACCCUGCUUGCUCAGGACAUUCGGAACACAAAGCCCAGGCCUAUUAGAUGUGGAAGCAGAUUCCAGGCCCAUUUCUACUGCUGAGUCCUUAAGUAUCUAUGCCUCUCAGAAUUCAGCAUGCCAGAGGAAGAAGGAAGGCCAUGGACAGAAUGGGACAGAUGACCUCUAGGGUUCCAUCCACCCUGCAUAUUUACUUUUGACCUGGAGAAACGAGGAUUUGGAGCCUUUGAGUUUCCAGCUGCUUCUGCAGCAGCGGCUUGGGUUAGCAGCCAUUGCCACCAUCACAGCCACAACCUGGACCUACAGACCAGAAGCCUCCAGAGGCUGGGAGGAGUCAGCACCCCAAUGGCAAAGACCAUGGAGGACCUUUAAGGGCAAGGACAGCGUAAAACAGAUUGCUGGACACUCACAAACAUAUGCAUACCUCAUGCUGUAUACACACACAUACAUACAUGCCCUUCAGCUGCAUUGUUGUGAUCUUGCGCGUCGUUGACAUGCUCAUCUCAUCGAAAGUGUGUUCUGAAGGUGUACCUGUGUGCAGGGGCUGUCUGCACUCUCCUACUAGAGCAGAGCUGAAGACUGAUUGUCACUAGAGGGGGAGAGAGUAUCUGCUGGCAUCUGCCACCAGCUAAGUACCUUCUUCCAGAGGUGACGGUGCUUGACUAUGGAAAGAAAUGUGUGGUCAUUGAUUUAGAUGAAACAUUGGUGCACAGUUCGUUUAAGCCUAUUAGUAAUGCUGAUUUUAUUGUUCCGGUUGAAAUCGAUGGAACUAUACAUCAGGUGUAUGUGCUGAAGCGGCCACAUGUGGACGAGUUCCUCCAGAGGAUGGGGCAGCUUUUUGAAUGUGUGCUCUUUACUGCCAGCUUGGCCAAGUAUGCAGACCCUGUGGCUGACCUCCUAGACCGCUGGGGUGUGUUCCGGGCCCGGCUCUUCAGAGAAUCAUGUGUUUUUCAUCGUGGGAACUACGUGAAGGACCUGAGUCGCCUUGGGCGGGAGCUGAGCAAAGUGAUCAUUGUUGACAAUUCCCCUGCCUCAUACAUCUUCCAUCCUGAGAAUGCAGUGCCUGUGCAGUCCUGGUUCGAUGACAUGACGGACACGGAGCUGCUGGACCUCAUCCCCUUCUUUGAGGGCCUGAGCCGGGAGGACGACGUGUACAGCAUGCUGCACAGACUCUGCAAUAGGUAGCCCUGGCCUCUGCCUGCCUCCCGCCUGUGCACUCUGGAACCUCUGGCCUCAGGGGACCUGCCUGUCCUCAGCUCCCUGGGAGCUGAAAGUGAGGAUACUCCGUGCUCCAGGCCACAGGGUGAAUGUGGCCAUGCCUACCUGUUUUGUUUUUUUAAGAACAGAAACAACUAUUUUAAAAGAACUCUUUUAAGAAAUUUCAUAAAGGGACAUGCAUUUUACUGGAUUUGCUUUUCUUAAAACAUACCAAAAAAGAAAAAA